GGUAGCUCAGUGGUAGAGUGCAUGCCUUGCAAGCAUGAGGCCCUGGGUUCGAUUCCUCAACCA
rnacentral:tRNA from 1 species